UACGAAGGGGGCUAGCGUUGUUCGGAAUUACUGGGCGUAAAGGGCGCGUAGGCGGUGUGUCAAGUCAGGCGUGAAAGCCCCGGGCUCAACCUGGGAACCGCGCUUGAGACUGGCACGCUCGAGUUCGGGAGAGGAUGGUGGAAUUCCCAGUGUAGAGGUGAAAUUCGUAGAUAUUGGGAAGAACACCGGUGGCGAAGGCGGCGACCUGGUCCGUGACUGACGCUGAGGCGCGAAAGCGUGGGGAGCAAACAGG
rnacentral:rRNA from 1 species